rnacentral:rRNA from 1 species
UGGCAGGUACAGCGGGAAGCCAUAUGGCGACAUAGAGCGGAACCCGAAAACCUGUCUCAGUUCGGAUUGGAGUCUGCAACCCGACCCCAUGAAGCUGGAUUCGCUAGUAAUCGCGCAUCAGCCACGGCGCGGUGAAUACGUUCCCGGGCCUUGUACACACCGCCCGUCAAGCCAUGGGAGCCGGGGGUACCUGAAGUGCGUGACCGCAAGGAGCGCCCUAAGGUAAAACCGGUGACUGGGGCUAAGUCGUAACAAGGUACC